rnacentral:rRNA from 1 species
UACGUAGGGGGCUAGCGUUGUCCGGAAUCAUUGGGCGUAAAGCGCGCGUAGGCGGCUAGAUAAGUCCGGUGUGAAAGUCACAGGCUCAACCUGUGAAUGCCGCUGGAAACUGUCUGGCUUGAGUCCGGAAGGGGCGAGUGGAAUUCCUGGUGUAGCGGUGAAAUGCGCAGAUAUCAGGAGGAACACCAAUGGCGAAGGCAGCUCGCUGGAACGGUACUGACGCUGAGGCGCGAAAGCGUGGGGAGCGAACAGG